AACGUAGGGGACAAGCGUUAUCCGGAUUUACUGGGCGUAAAGCGCCCGUAGGCGGCUUAACAAGUUGGAUGUGAAAGCUCCCGGCUUAACUGGGAGAGGUCAUUCAAAACUGUUAGGCUAGAGGAUGGAAGAGGAGAGCGGAAUUCCCGGUGUAGUGGUGGAAUGCGUAGAGAUCGGGAGGAACACCAGUGGCGAAAGCGGCUCUCUGGUUCACACCUGACGCUGAGGGGCGAAAGCGUGGGGAGCGAACAGG
rnacentral:rRNA from 1 species